CGCUGGCGGCGUGCCUAACACAUGCAAGUCGAACGGGACUUAAGGGGGCUUGCUCCUUAAGUUUAGUGGCGAACGGGUGAGUAACGCGUGAGGAACCUGCCUUUCAGUGGGGGACAACAGUUGGAAACGACUGCUAAUACCGCAUAAUGUAUCUCUGGGACAUCCCUAGGAUACCAAAGCUUUAUGUGCUGAAAGAUGGUCUCGCGUCUGAUUAGCUAGAUGGCGGGGUAACGGCCCACCAUGGCGACGAUCAGUAGCCGGUCUGAGAGGAUGAACGGCCACAUUGGGACUGAGAUACGGCCCAGACUCCUACGGGAGGCAGCAGUGGGGAAUAUUGGGCAAUGGGGGAAACCCUGACCCAGCAACGCCGCGUGAAGGAAGAAGGCCUUCGGGUUGUAAACUUCUUUUAGCAGGGACGAAGAACGUGACGGUACCUGCAGAAAAAGCAACGGCUAACUACGUG
rnacentral:rRNA from 1 species